AACGGCCGUACCAUGCUGAAUAUACCGGUUCUCGUUAGAUCACCGAAGUUAAGCAUCAUUGGGCGCGGUCAGUACGUGGGUGGGUGACCACCUGGGAACACUGCGUGCCGUU
rnacentral:rRNA from 1 species